rnacentral:rRNA from 1 species
AUACGAAGGUGGCAAGCGUUGUUCGGAAUUAUUGGGCUUAAAGAGCACGUAGGCGGAUAUGCAAGUGUCAUGUGAAAACCCUCGGCUUAACCGGGGAAUUGCUUGGCAAACUGUAUAUCUUGAGUCAAGUAGGGGUACAUGGAACUCUUAGUGGAGCGGUGGAAUGCGUAGAUAUUAAGAGGAACGCCAAUGGUGAAGACAGUGUACUGGGCUUGUACUGACGCUGAGGUGCGAAAGCGUGGGGAGCGAACGGGAUUAGAUACCCCGGUAGUCCACGCUGUAAACGAUGUCUACUAGGUUGUGGUUGUUCUGACACAUUCACAGCCGAAGCAAAAGUGUUAAGUAGACCGCCUGGGGAGUACGGUCGCAAGGCUAAA